CCUACGGGUGGCAGCAGUGAGGAAUAUUGGUCAAUGGCCGGAAGGCUGAACCAGCCAAGCCGCGUGAAGGACGAAGGUGCCAAGCAUUGUAAACUUCUUUUGUCAAGGGACAAAAUCAGGCUCGAGAGCCUGACCGAGGGUACUUGAAGAAAAAGCAUCGGCUAACUCCGUGCCAGCAGCCGCGGUACUAGGGGGGAUGCGAGCUGUAACCGGAUUUAUUGGGUUUAAAGGGUGCGUAGGCGUACUGUUAAGUUAGCGGUAAAAGACCGGGGCUCAACCCCGGCGAGCCGUUGAAACUGGGUGUCUUGAGAUGUCGAGAGGUAUGCGGAAUGCGCAGUGUAGCGGUGAAAUGCUUAGAUAGUGCGCAGAACUCCGAUUGCGAAGGCAGCAUACCGGCGGCGAUCUGACGCUGAGGCACGAAAGCGUGGGUAUCGAACAGGAUUAGAUACCCGUGUAGUC
rnacentral:rRNA from 1 species